rnacentral:sRNA from 2 species
AUGUACCACUUGUACAUUCCGGUUCCUGCGCGCCGCGCGCACCCGCCUGACAACCGCUCGCUACGCUUUGUUGGCC